GAGGCUACUACAGAGCUAUGAAACUAAGGAAGUAAGAAUCAUGACUUCACAUGAGAACAAUUAUGUCCAAUCAGUAUCAGCGAAUAAAGACGGUGAAAACAUAUACAGUGAGAUCAACAAUGACAAAAAAACGUCAUCAUUAUAAUGAACUAUUUCCUUUGCUUUUAUCACUAUUAUCAU